GUUUUUUUUUAACAUGGGAGAGCACUUAACAGGACGGGUUCUCGCAGAAACGAUAUAUAUUUAGGUCAAAUCUGUUUUAUCGGGGUUAUUAGAUUCUCUUGGCCCAACUGUAGUGUCAAAUAUCAAACCGAUGUUAUCUUAUUAAAAAAUUAUAUUAACAUCAACUUAAAUUGUUAAAUGAUCUACAUACAUGAAUUUUACCCCAUUAUUUAUUUUUAUUUGUCGUCUUCGAUUGUCCAUAAUUUCUAAUCUGUAAUGCCAAAUUUGAUGAUCUUCAACUCGUUAAAAAAACCAAACCAUAGAGAU
rnacentral:sRNA from 1 species